rnacentral:rRNA from 1 species
AGUGAACGCUGGCGGUAGGCCUAACACAUGCAAGUCGAACGGCAGCACAGUAAGAGCUUGCUCUUACGGGUGGCGAGUGGCGGACGGGUGAGGAAUACAUCGGAAUCUACUUUUUCGUGGGGGAUAACGUAGGGAAACUUACGCUAAUACCGCAUACGACCUACGGGUGAAAGCAGGGGAUCUUCGGACCUUGCGCGAUUGAAUGAGCCGAUGUCGGAUUAGCUAGUUGGCGGGGUAAAGGCCCACCAAGGCGACGAUCCGUAGCUGGUCUGAGAGGAUGAUCAGCCACUCUGGAACUGAGACACGGUCCAGACUCCUACGGGAGGCAGCAGUGGGGAAUAUUGGACAAUGGGCGCAAGCCUGAUCCAGCCAUACCGCGUGGGUGAAGAAGGCCUUCGGGUUGUAAAGCCCUUUUGUUGGGAAAGAAAAGCAGCAGGUUAAUACCCCGCUGUUCCGACGGUACCCAAAGAAUAAGCACCGGCUAACUU